rnacentral:sRNA from 1 species
UUUAGACGCACCAAACGCAAUAGUUUGAGUAUUACACUAUUACUAUCGAGAUGUGAGGUCAAAUUAAUGUUAGGCCUUUGAUUGAUACUCUCUCCGUCCCAUGAAAAUGAAUUUUAAAAAAAAUUCACAUUCUUUAAGAAAUAAUGUAUAAUGACAAUUUUAAUUUUUUAUAACUAUUU